rnacentral:rRNA from 1 species
GCAGCAGUAGGGAAUCUUCCGCAAUGGGCGAAAGCCUGACGGAGCAACGCCGCGUGAGUGAUGAAGGUCUUCGGAUCGUAAAACUCUGUUAUCAGGGAAGAACAAAUGUGUAAGUAACUGUGCACAUCUUGACGGUACCUGAUCAGAAAGCCACGGCUAACUACGUGCCAGCAGCCGCGGUAAUACGUAGGUGGCAAGCGUUAUCCGGAAUUAUUGGGCGUAAAGCGCGCGUAGGCGGUUUUUUAAGUCUGAUGUGAAAGCCCACGGCUCAACCGUGGAGGGUCAUUGGAAACUGGAAAACUUGAGUGCAGAAGAGGAAAGUGGAAUUCCAUGUGUAGCGGUGAAAUGCGCAGAGAUAUGGAGGAACACCAGUGGCGAAGGCGACUUUCUGGUCUGUAACUGACGCUGAUGUGCGAAAGCGUGGGGAUCAAACAGGAUUAGAUACCCUGGUAGUCCACGCCGUAAACGAUGAGUGCUAAGUGUUAGGGGGUUUCCGCCCCUUAGUGCUGCAGCUAACGCAUUAAGCACUCCGC